UACAGAGGGUGCGAGCGUUGUUCGGAAUUAUUGGGCGUAAAGGGCGCGUAGGCGGUGCCGCAAGUCACUUGUGAAAUCCCCGGGCUUAACUCGGGGCCUGCAGGCGAAACUGUGGUGCUGGAGUAUGGGAGAGGUGCGUGGAAUUCCCGGUGUAGCGGUGAAGUGCGUAGAUAUCGGGAGGAACACCUGUGGCGAAAGCGGCGCACUGGACCAUAACUGACGCUGAGGCGCGAAAGCUAGGGGAGCAAACAGG
rnacentral:rRNA from 1 species